rnacentral:misc_RNA from 1 species
GCUGGAUUUUUUGCUAUAUGGGCUUGCCCUAGAGACGUUCCUUCUUCUUUACCCUCAACAUAUUGCCCAGGCACAGUGAAAAUGGCAGCAAAAGCGACUGUGGCUAUGAGCACAGCAACAACAGUUGCAGAAUUUAUAGCAUUGUUGAGGCCACUAAUAUGGAGUUUCUUCAACCUCUUUGCAAUCUUCUGCACUUUGACACGCGUUUGACGGGUCUGUUGAAGCUGGGACUGGACAUCAUGUUUUAUGUCACUGACAGUCUGCUUAAGUUGCUUUGCUGGAUUUGGUGGUUUUCCAAGAUCUUUAGAAUUGACGGCGCCCACAUCCUUCAACAUGGACAGAAUUUCUGAAGUGUCAAGUUUUUCUGCAAUGUCAAGGGGGGUCUCUCCAGCCUUGUUAGUUGCAUU